CGGACGGGUGAGUAACGCGUGGGGAACCUGCCCUGUACCGGGGGAUAGCAGCCGGAAACGGCUGAUAAUACCGCAUAAGCGCACGAAUGUCGCAUGACAUGGUGUGAAAAACUCCGGUGGUAUAGGAUGGACCCGCGUCUGAUUAGCCGGUUGGUGGGGUAAAAGCCUACCAAAGCGAAGAUCAGUAGCCGAGUUGAGAUACUGACCGGCCACAUUGGGACUGAGACACGGCCCAGACUCCUACGGGAGGCAGCAGCA
rnacentral:rRNA from 1 species